rnacentral:lncRNA from 1 species
UGUGAUUUGGAGUUUUUAUGAAAGAGAUAUAGGUGCUCAAAAGUUAAGGUAUUGGUUUUGUAUCUAUUAUCACUCUUUUGGAUAUAACACAUGCAUACAAAAUGCAAUGAAGGUUUGGUAAUUAGGAUUGAAGAGAGCAUUUUUUUUGCUACACUUUUCAUAUACUAUUUGAUGAAUUCUAAGUUAGAAUGAAGGAGUUAUAGGAAGUU